rnacentral:rRNA from 1 species
GAUGAACGCUAGCGGGAGGCCUAAUACAUGCAAGUCGAACGGUAAGGUCCCUUCGGGGAUACACGAGUGGCGGACGGGUGCGUAACGCGUACGAAACAUACCUUCAACAGGGAGAUACCUCCGGGAAACUGGAAAUAAUACCCCAUAGUAUUGAGAUAUCGCAUGAUAUUUCAAUUAAAGCUUUGGCGGUUGAAGAUUGUCGUGCGUCUGAUUAGCUAGUUGGUGAGGUAACGGCUCACCAAGGCGACGAUCAGUAGCUGGUCUGAGAGGAUGAUCAGCCACACUGGAACUGAGACACGGUCCAGACUCCUACGGGAGGCAGCAGUAGGGAAUAUUGGACAA